rnacentral:rRNA from 1 species
UGCAUAUCAAUAAGCGGAGGAAAAGAAACUAACAAGGAUUCCCCUAGUAACGGCGAGUGAAGAGGGAAGAGCCCAAGUUUGGAAGCUGGCAUUUGUAUUCAGAUGUCUGCAUUGUAAACUCAAGAAGUGUUUUCUGUGCUGGAUCAAAUUCAAGUCCCUUGGAAUAGGGCAUCAUAGAGGGUGAAAGUCCCGUGCUUGAUUUGAAACCCCCAGGGCUUUGUGAUACACUUUCCAAGAGUCGAGUUGUUUGGGAAUGCAGCUCAAAAUGGGUGGUAAAUGCCAUCUAAGGCUAAAUAUUGAGGAGAGACCGAUAGUGAACAAGUACCGUGAGGGAAAGAUGAAAAGAACUUUGGAAAGAGAGUUAAACAGUACGUGAAAUUGCCGGAAGGGAAGGGUAGGAAGUCAGACAUGCCUUUGCAGAUUCAGCCUUGUGCUUUAUUGGACUUGGUGCAUUUUUGUAUUGGCUUGCUAGCAUUGGUUUGUAUUGACAGAUAUAGGCUUAGGGAAUGUGGCUUAGCUUUCGGGCAAAGUGUUAUAGCCCUUUGCUGAGUAUGACAAUAUAGACCAAGGAUUGCAGCGCACCCACUUUAGGGCGGGCCUUUUGGGGCACCUUUGCGCUUAGGAUGCUGGCUUAAUGGCUUUCUGCCACCCGUCUUGAAACACGGACC